rnacentral:rRNA from 1 species
CAGCCGCCACGGUAAUACGUAGGUGGCAAGCGUUGUCCGGAAUUAUUGGGCGUAAAGCGCGCGCAGGUGGUUUAAUAAGUCUGAUGUGAAAGCCCACGGCUCAACCGUGGAGGGUCAUUGGAAACUGUUAAACUUGAGUGCAGGAGAGAAAAGUGGAAUUCCUAGUGUAGCGGUGAAAUGCGUAGAGAUUAGGAGGAACACCAGUGGCGAAGGCGACUCUCUGGUCUGUAACUGACGCUGAGGAGCGAAAGCGUGGGGAGCGAACAGGAUUAGAGACCCCAGUAGUCCCUGUCUCUUAUAC